rnacentral:rRNA from 1 species
AAGCCAGACUCCUACGGGAGGCAGCAGUGGGGAAUAUUGCACAAUGGGGGAAACCCUGAUGCAGCGACGCCGCGUGAGUGAAGAAGUAUUUCGGUAUGUAAAGCUCUAUCAGCAGGGAAGAUAAUGACGGUACCUGACUAAGAAGCCCCGGCUAACUACGUGCCAGCAGCCGCGGUAAUACGUAGGGGGCAAGCGUUAUCCGGAUUUACUGGGUGUAAAGGGAGCGUAGGUGGCAGGGCAAGUCAGAUGUGAAAACCCGGGGCUCAACUCCGGGAGUGCAUUUGAAACUGUCUAGCUAGAGUGCAGGAGAGGUAAGCGGAAUUCCUAGUGUAGCGGUGAAAUGCAUAGAUAUUAGGAGGAACACCAGUGGCGAAGGCGGCUUACUGGACUGUAACUGACACUGAGGCUCGAAAGCGUGGGGAGCAAACAGGAUUAGAUACCCUAGUAUG